GAUUACCUUGGUCUCCGAGAUUCGUCGUUCUCUCCGGAUUGUGCCUCAAUGUAGGAUCAAUUCCUGAAAGUUAUGUUUGACCUGGAGAAGGACCCACCCGUUGGAGUAGUUUGCCAACAAUGGGUGGAGUGCCUCAGGUUGCCUCAGCCAGCUUUACGCAAGACAUCCCGGCAGAAAGGGAGUGAAAUUGUGCCGAGUCCCAGCUGCGGCUCCCUUAAGUGGAUUCCAAAACCUGCAAGAUCUGGCGCUGGAUGAAACAAUAUUGUGAGGUGGUCAAAAUUGACUAGAAAUGAGUGAUAAUGAAUGUUAUUGAGGUUAAUAAUACUGUAGAACCAAAAACAUUCUGUAAUUUUAGCUGUUUUUAUG